rnacentral:rRNA from 1 species
UACGGGGGGGGCAAGCGUUGUUCGGAAUUACUGGGCGUAAAGGGCUCGUAGGCGGCCAACUAAGUCAGACGUGAAAUCCCUCGGCUUAACCGGGGAACUGCGUCUGAUACUGGAUGGCUUGAGUUUGGGAGAGGGAUGCGGAAUUCCAGGUGUAGCGGUGAAAUGCGUAGAUAUCUGGAGGAACACCGGUGGCGAAGGCGGCAUCCUGGACCAUUACUGACGCUGAGGCGCGAAAGCUAGGGGAGCAAACGGG